GCUGGGCAUGGUGGCGCGAGCCUGUAAUCCCAGCUACUCAGGAGGCUGAGGCAGGAGAAUCACUUGAACCCGGGAGGUGGAGGUUGCAGUGAGCCAAGAUCGCACCACUGCACUCCAGCCUGGGUGACAGAGUGAGACUCUGUCUCAA
rnacentral:SRP_RNA from 2 species